rnacentral:tRNA from 1 species
GGAGAGGUGGCUGAGUGGUCGAAAGCACUCGCUUGGAAAGCGAGUGAACCUCCGGGUUCCGCAAGUUCGAAUCUUGUCUUCUCCGCCA